rnacentral:rRNA from 1 species
UACGUAGGUGGCAAGCGUUGUCCGGAAUUAUUGGGCGUAAAGCGCGCGCAGGCGGUUAUGUAAGUCUGAUGUUAAAGCCCGGGGCUCAACCCCGGUUCGCAUUGGAAACUGUGUAACUUGAGUGCAGAAGAGGAAAGUGGUAUUCCACGUGUAGUGGUGAAAUGCGUAGAGAUGUGGAGGAACCCCAGUGGCGAAGGCGACUUUCUGGUCUGUUACUGACGCUGAGGCGCGAAAGCGUGGGGAGCAAACAGG